UUUUUUUUUUUUUUUUGACAGGGUCUUGUCCUAUCACCCAGGCUGGAGUACAGUGGCAUAAUGAUAGCUCACUUCAGCUCAACCUCUUGGGCUCAAGCAAUACUAUCGCUUCAGGAACUCAAGUAGCUGGGACCACAGGUGCGUGCCACCACACCCAGCUCAUUGUUUUUGUAUUUUUUUUGUAGAGAUGGGGUCUCACUAUAUUGCCCAGUCUGGUCUCUAACUCCUGGGCUCAAGCAAUCCUCCCACCUCAGCCUCCCAAAGCGCUGGGCUUAUAGGCAUGAGCCACCACACCCGGCCUCAAUUUUUGUUUAUAAAUUUUUGUUUACAUACCACCUAAUUCUUUAUUUUUGUAAUUCUGAGAAAAUUUAUAUGCCAACAAAUUCACCCUUUUAAGUGAAGGAUUCAGUGACUUUCAGUGUAGAGUUGUGCACAUGUCACCACUAAUUCCACAACAUUCUAAUCACCCAAAAAGAAACCCCCUGCCCAUUCGCAGUCACUUCCAAUCCUGCCUCACCCCAGUCCCUGGCAACCACAAAUCGGUCUCUCUGCAAUUGUCUUUUUUGGACAUUUCAUAUCAAUGGAAUCAAACAGUAAGUGGUCCUCUGCACAUCUUCAUUCAGCACAGCUCCUCCGAGUGCUGGCCGGGCUGCGGCACGCAUCCGUGCUCCAUUCCUUCACGUGGCUGGAUUGACGUCCCAUUCUUUGGAGACUGCUCAGCACACCUCUGUGUUCUGUUCACGUGGCUGGAUGACGUCCCAUUCUUCGGACAGUCGGCUUUGUUUCUCCCUUCCAUCUGCUGAUGGAAACCCAGGUUGCGUCUACCCUGUGGCUGGUACGAGCCGUGCUGCUAGGCACAUCUAAGCAUAGGCGCACGUGUGAGCAGCUGUCUUGAGGGCUCCGGGGUGGAUCCUAUGAGUGGAACUGCUGAGUCAGCUGGUAGCAUGUCACCAGCACCUUGAACAACAGGUUCACUGAAGACCCAGCCCCAGACCGAGAGCCCUCUCCUCUGCGCCAGUGGCUCCCCCUCCACUCAGCACCCAUGGGUGCCCACGCCUGCUGCCUUGCUUUCAUCCCAUCACAGGCAUCUGUCCUUUCUCUCUGGCUGCUGUCAAAAUGAUCUUUGCCUGUGAUACUUGCACGUGUCGAAGCAGAGACUGAUGUUCGUUUUUCCUACUUGGGGUUCUGUUCUACUUCCUGAAUCCUUGAAAUGCAUCUUCCUUCUGUUUUCUCCAUUCUCUCCUUCUGGGAUUCCAGUCAGAUGCGUGUGGAUUUGACAUUCUACACCCCGCCUCCCAGCUGGUCCCUUCUGCCUCCUGGAGAGCGGCCGUGCUCCGGUGACCUCCCGGGAGGCCUCGGCCCGGCUCCUUGUGGCGGCCAUCUUCGGAGGCGGCCCCCCAGCGAUAGAGACACAGAACCCAAGAGCGCAGCCCCCCUUUCGAGGGCAGCUCAUCCUAGACCCUCACCCGCAAGGGGACCCAGUCCAGGCUCCCGACGGGGUGGGGCAGGCUGGAGCCACCACCGUCUGGAUGGCAACGCGGAACUCCUCCCAGAGAACGCACAGAGAAGCCC
ensembl:lncRNA